GAAAAGGCUACUGAUUUAUAGACUGUAAGGCUGAAAGGGACCUCAUAAGAUCAUUGAGUUCAGCCUCCUGCACCAGAAAGGAAAGAUAACUGGGGUCAGGUAACCUUAUCAAGAUAAAAGGCGCUAUACAAAUGUAAAUGUAUGGAAUGUUUUGAAAAGGACAUGGAGAAGUUAGGGAGCAUCCAGAGGCCAGCAACAACAAUGAUCAAAGACUUGGAAGGCAAGUCAUCGGAGGAGAGGCUGAAAGAGCUAGGAGCUCAUCCUGACCAAAUGAAAUAAGAAGUGCUUUCCAGCCAGAACAACACAGAAAACGUCAUUGUAGGAAGCCUAGGACUGGAAGGAAUCUUUGGCAUCAUCUCCUUUAACUCCCUGCACAGUUGAAGGAUUUGCUGUUAGAUUUUGUGAUAUAGGCCCCCUCUAUAUGUUACAGGUUUUGUGCAAUUACCUUAAG